ACCCCCUGCUCCUAAAUCUUGUGCAGAGUAAACCUAGGGGGAGAGAAAGAACAAAGAGGCAAAGAAGAAAGAUGACCCAGAAAGCAAAUCCAUUCAAAGAUCAACAGAAGAAGAAAUCUGUUCCUCCCAACCGCCAUGGCAAACCUUCUGUCACCCGCAAAGAGAUUUGUGAAGCCAGACAAAGUUACCAAGGAGAUGGAUGUUGAUCGUGUUUUCACCUUAUUCAUUGGUGUCAACUGGUAGCAACCUUUUGGUUUCAACUUUAUUCAUUCAGGCUUUGUUUGGGUGACAAUACAUAAUGAACAGCAUUACGUUCAUCCAUUUUGUAAAAACAUAGUUGCUUCAAUGGGUAUUGAUGUCAUGUUCUGUGAUUGGCUACUUUUCUCUAGUGUAGUGAGAAGCCUUGUUAUCAUUGGUGUAACCCUAUGUUAAAGAACACUGGGUGGGUAAUAAAUAAAUGUGCAAAAAAAAAAAUAUAUAUAUAUAUAUAUAUAUAUGAUUACUAAAGGAAGCCAAAUUUGUAUCUGCCUGCAUUGGAGAGACUAGAAUAUGUUGUUUUUCUUUCUUUAUUUGUUCACAUCAGUGAUAAUAUUUUCCUCAGUAACUUGAUUACACCACGAGCUGAGCAAGUUCAUUAAUUAUUGCAAUGAGGUGAAAGCAGCCACUGCUGCUAACAGGGAAGGUGGCCAACUAAGUAUUGUCAAACCACCACCAGAGUCGACCAGUGGUGAGAAGAAAUAGAUGAUGAUGAGAGCACAGAAAGUAUGAAUGUAAAAUCUAAGGAGUAAUAGAUUUUGGAAAUAGUCAUUUUUCGUGUCGCUGUUGAUGUUUUGUAUGUUACAAGAGGAAAUGAGGUUAACUGCUUAUGUUGCAAAUUCAUUUUAUCUUUUUGUUGUUCCUUUGUUUCAUUUUGCAGGUUGAUAAUAUGUUCUUAGCUUGUUUAAUUUCAUCGACUACUUCAUAGGUUUUACAGUUUUUGGUGCCAAUUAAUAUUUAACGUGAUUGAAUUUAUGAGGAAA